rnacentral:rRNA from 1 species
AAACCAGCACCUCAAGUGGUCAGGAUGAUUAUUGGGCCUAAAGCAUCCGUAGCCGGCUCUGUAAGUUUUCGGUUAAAUCUGUACGCUUAACGUACAGGCUGCCGGAAAUACUGCAGAGCUAGGGAGUGGGAGAGGUAGACGGUACUCGGGAGGAAGUGGUAAAAUGCUUUGAUCUCUCGAUGACCACCUGUGGCGAAGGCGGUCUACCAGAACACGUCCGACGGUGAGGGAUGAAAGCUGGGGGAGCAAACCGGAUUAGAGACCCGAGUAGUCC